CUAGUUUCCAGGCUCAAUGGCAAGUACUCUCACCUGAUAAAUGCCCCCACCCCACCCCACAGCAUCAAGUGAUAUCAGUGGCUGUUUCCUGAGAUGCAGUUGAUCAGCACUUCCAAAGAAGCAGAAACAAGCAAUUGUAACUCUCACAGCAACCCGGCAAAGAUGAACAGAAGAUAAGAGCUGGGGUGGCCUCCAGCACACUUCCUGUUGGCCGGACCUGUAGCAGGGCAAACAGGGAGGCUCCUGCUGUGUCUCAGUGAGACAGGACACAGUCAUCCUGGACCUGGACAGGAAAGUGACCCAGUGACCCUUGGAAGUUUAAGUCCAGGUGUUAUGGCCCAUCUUCCUACCAUGUCAAGUCAGACAGCACCUGAGUCCUCCCAGCUGUGCUCCUGAAGGAAGACACGGGCAUGCUCUGUUAAGUUUGAGCUUGUGGCACCAUGACACUGGACACUCUUUUGCCAAAUUGCUACGCUGUUGGAUCCCUUUCAGACAGAGCUAUUUCAAAUAAGAAUGCUGAGCUAGAACAACACGAACGACCCGGUGUAUAGCCUUGCUCCUUCCCCAGAUACGGACCUGGAUCUUUCUGGAAUCUUACAAACAUGAUCUCUUCAUUUACAGUAACAAAACCAAACGAACACCUUAACUUUUCCUGCAACCUGUGACCCAGGGCUUUACUCCAGCUGUGAUCACAUCUGUUCUAUGAACUACUUUAUAUCAUCCAAGGUAGACUAUACACAAGACUAUUGUAAAGACACUGAAACGUGACUCUCUGGAGAAGUCCACACACUCACCCCGGGUGUGUUUGAACCUUUCCUGAAGUGUCUCUAUUAACCUCUGUAUUAAAAUCUAGGCUAAGGUCUCUUCUCAAAAACUCCACCUCAGCCUCGUACUGACUUGUCUUGAAAUUGUUUUGGGACUGGAGAGAUGGCCCAGUGGUUAAGAGCACUAAGUGCUCUUCCGAAGGUCCUGAGUACAAAUCCUAGAAACCACAUGGUGGCUCACAACCAUCUGUAACAAGAUCUGAUGUCCUCUUCUGGCGUGUCUGAAG
rnacentral:lncRNA from 1 species